rnacentral:rRNA from 1 species
GACGAACGCUGGCGGCGUGCCUAAUACAUGCAAGUAGAACGCUGAAGAGAGGAGCUUGCUCUUCUUGGAUGAGUUGCGAACGGGUGAGUAACGCGUAGGUAACCUGCCUUGUAGCGGGGGAUAACUAUUGGAAACGAUAGCUAAUACCGCAUAACAAUGGAUGACACAUGUCAUUUAUUUGAAAGGGGCAAUUGCUCCACUACAAGAUGGACCUGCGUUGUAUUAGCUAGUAGGUGAGGUAGUGGCUCACCUAGGCGACGAUACAUAGCCGACCUGAGAGGGUGAUCGGCCACACUGGGACUGAGACACGGCCCAGACUCCUACGGGAGGCAGCAGUAGGGAAUCUUCGGCAAUGGGGGCAACCCUGACCGAGCAACGCCGCGUGAGUGAAGAAGGUUUUCGGAUCGUAAAGCUCUGUUGUAAGUCAAGAACGGGUGUGAGAGUGGAAAGUUCACACUGUGACGGUAGCUUACCAGAAAGGGACGGCUAACUACGUG